rnacentral:rRNA from 1 species
UACGGGGGGAGCAAGCGUUGUUCGGAUUUACUGGGCGUAAAGGGCGCGUAGGCGGUCAGCACAAGUCAGUUGUGAAAUCUCCGGGCUUAACUCGGAAAGGUCAACUGAUACUGUGCGACUAGAGUGCGGAAGGGGCAUCUGGAAUUCUCGGUGUAGCGGUGAAAUGCGUAGAUAUUAGGAAGAACACCAGUGGCGAAGGCGGCUCACUGGACUGGUACUGACGCUGAGGCGCGAAAGCGUGGGGAGCAAACGGG